AGUGAACGCUGGCGGUAGGCCUAACACAUGCAAGUCGAACGGCAGCACAGUAAGAGCUUGCUCUUACGGGUGGCGAGUGGCGGACGGGUGAGGAAUACAUCGGAAUCUACUUUUUCGUGGGGGAUAACGUAGGGAAACUUACGCUAAUACCGCAUACGACCUACGGGUGAAAGCAGUGGAUCUUCGGACCUUGCGCGAUUGAAUGAGCCGAUGUCGGAUUAGCUAGUUGGCGGGUUAAAGGCCCACCAAGGCGACGAUCCGUAGCUGGUCUGAGAGGAUGAUCAGCCACACUGGAACUGAGACACGGUCCAGACUCCUACGGGAGGCAGCAGUGGGGAAUAUUGGACAAUGGGCGCAAGCCUGAUCCAGCCAUACCGCGUGGGUGAAGAAGGCCUUCGGGUUGUAAAGCCCUUUUGUUGGGAAAGAAAAGCAGCAGGUUAAUACCCCGCUGUUCUGACGGUACCCAAAGAAUAAGCACCGGCUAACUUCGUG
rnacentral:rRNA from 1 species